AGUGGUUAAAAGAUAGAACAGUCCAGUCAAGUGCCAUGUCGCUUAUUCUUGAUCAGCUAUAGCUCUGGAGUUUUUGCAGAUUUUCAAAUAAAACUCAGAGAUUCCUUUGUAUGACUCUCUCAUAUCUCUCUUUUGUGGUAUUUCUGGAUCCUUACCAAUGCAGUGAUGGUAUAUGCCUUCUCUCAAAACAUGUGGUAUUUGUGGUAUAAGGCAUAGUGACAUUGCCUUCUCUCUCACCCUACUCUAAUAAGGCUUUAAUAUCUGGAGCUCAUAGGUGGGAGAUAAAGUAUACAUACUUACAAGACAUGUAUUGCAUAGUCAAACCAUGGAUCCAAAGAAAUAAAUCAAUAAGCCAAAUCAAGAUGUGCAUGUGUGGCGAAUGAAUAGUGUAUGGUGAUGAUGGUGAUAACAAUGGUGAAAGUCUAAUUCUACUUUUGCUCUUUUAAGGGGAUACAUACCUUCCUUGCUUUUUGAAACUUUAUGAGGAGAAUGAGAUGCUCUUCUUUUUCUUUUCUCUCAGAUGGGUAUCCUGUACCCCUAAUUCUACUGUCAGACACUUGUCCAUUUUUACCUCUCGUCUCACUCUUUUUCUUUUCUUUCGAGGUUCCGGGCACUUGCCCCUUUUUAUUUCCUCGUUUAUUUUUUUUCUUUUCUUUUUUUUCUUCUUUUUUUUCAGAGCACUCAUCUCUUGAGAUAAUAUAGCAAGUGGUAGUAGCAAGAUAACUUGAGCAUUUAUUUCACAAGGGAAAAACACAGAUGUUUUUGGCUAUUCUCUCCCGAAUUAGGAGUAGAAUAUUUUUAGGUGAUUCUGGAGAUGGAAAUGGAUGGAUAUAUAUGGAUGGUACUUCCGGAGUAGAAGUAGCAUAUAUAUGAGUGAACGUGCAAGUGAAUCUUGAUUUAACCACAUGACAAGCUCCUAAGGGUCUACACAGCUUGACCACACUCAAUGCUCAUAAGCAGUAAAUAAUAAAUGUGUGGCUCAAAGUCUAGCAAGCAUGUAUAUAUGGCUGUGGUAGGAAUUUAAACUUUCAUCAUACAGGAACUCAUCAUGCAACAUUUUAAAGAUUUUUCAAAGAUAAAAUUCUCCAGAAUUCUAGCAUCUCUAGGAACAGAUAAACAGCAGCUCAACCUUCCCAUAUCUUAUCCGUUAACAACUUAGAUUUUAGAUCAAGUUUUCAUCCCACAAGUUUAGAUCUAGAGCAAGCUUUAAAUUAUAACAGUUAUGUCUAAACUUGAGAGAGAACUUCAAAUUUGCAAAUUAGGCAGAGCAACUAUUCAUCAUAUCCAUGCUAGAGUUUUAUUAUUAAGAUUCAUAGCAAACUUUAUUUAUUUAUUUAUUUAUUUAUUUAGCAAACUAAGAAAAGUAUAUAUAUAUAAGCAUAAAAUCUUUAUUUGGUUUUUCAUAGUUUAUGUAUUUUAAUAUUCUAAUAUAAUAUAAGUAUAAAGAUAGGUAGAAAUACUUAGCGAGAUAAAUAGGGGUGCUCUCCCUCAAGCUGAAUUUUGACGUAAUUUCUCUUGAUGUAGCUAGCAGGUGGCAGAGGUGUAUUUGAAAGUCAGCAGCAUUCUGACAGCAAUUAGAAUAUCCUCUAUCUUUCGGCGAGGGUUCAAUGUUUUAAGUCUUCUUAACAAGACUUCUCACCGUGUUCAUUCUUCAGGUGCGUCAUUUGAUUCAGGUGCGGACCUUGACGUCUGCACCUCUUGAUACGGUGUCGCCCAUAUUCUUCGUUUGCCCAGCAGUUCGAAGUGCGGUGUUAGCAGUAUCUUGCUCAAUGUGUUUGUGCUCGUAGUGUACCUGCUCAUAGAGACAAGGCAGAGAUCAAGUGAACCAAAAGUGUAUUUGUUCUUCUCUAACCUUAAGCAUAGUGAGCAAGACAAGUUGAUGGAUGAUAAGUUCAUGAGUGUAGCACUUAUAACAUUUGUCAGAUCAGAUCGCUCAACCUUAUGGAAAGAUAAUCUAUCUAUGUAUAUGUCUUUUUAUUUAUAUCUCUCAAUGAUUGAAUGUGUAACAUUUUAGCUCAUAUGAUUAGGAGUGUGGGAUCAUGGAGGUAGUACUAAGAACAAGGAUUAAAGGACUAAACAUGUUGAAUCAGUUGGGUUGGUUAAUCUAGAGUUGUAAAUCAUACACGUUUGUCUCUUUUAUUUAUAUGAACGCCAGAACCAAGGAGAAGCUUAUAAAAGUGAUAGUCAAGUACCUUAGGAUGUUACCUUGCUUGAAAAGUGAUGGUACAGUAUCACCUUGUGGAAGCUUUCCUUUCUUAGCGGUUGUGCAUCGUGUUCGUGGCACCCUCCAUGGAUCUUCACUUUAUGAUGAAUGAGCUAUGUCCUUCUUGUGCUAAUUGUUAAACUUCAUGUGUCACUUUCUUCGUCUCUGAUGUGAGUUUAUCUCAGGACUUCCCAAAUCGAUAUUGAAAGUUUUUCUGCAGGGGUUAGUCCAACAAAAUAUACCAAUAUCUACUCAAGCAGUUUUUAGUUCAAUAACCAAACUAGACUCCUUGUCUAAUCAGAUUAAGGAAGGCUAUUUAACCUAAGCACCAUGCUUAAUUUAAAUGCCAAUGGAAGUAUGGCGAGUACUUCCAAACCAACACUUGCUAGUAAAUAGACAACGGUAGCAUGACAGCGUUUAUAGAGAUCUACUCAAGUGGAGAUGAAGUAGUGUGAUUAGUAUUUAACAAAUUGAGCAUGUCUCAAAGGUAGGGACAACCAGCAUAGCAACAUGGCAAAGGAUGUUUUUAUGUAAAGUACUCCCCCAAGCUUGAAUUUUGCAAAAAUUCAAGUUUGGAUGAAUUUAAUUCAAUGUUGUAUGAUGAUUGGUUGGACAUACCUUGUGCUUGUCAUUCAUCCGAUCUUCUUGCUCCAAUCUUAGAAAGGUUAGUGACAAGAAUACCCGAAGGAAUAUAUUUUUUUUACAAUUAUCCUUAUAUGCUCAAUACACAAGGUAAUGUUGCAAAUAAUUAAAGGCUCAUGUUACGAUCUGAUCAAUGCUUAUUUUAAGACACUAAGCUUGUCCUUGGGAAACCAUCAGUUUAUGUUGGCGAAGUGGUUUCCCCUCCGACGCCAACCUAUAUCUAGAUCAACUCAACGAGAUCUGCAAUAUUUAUUAUAGACAUAUGCAUCGACAACCGCCCUUUUAAAGUUUUUAUAAAUAGAAAGGAAGAGGGGGUUGGAGAUCUCAAGUGUGGUGAUGUCGGAGAGACCAAUAGAUUGGGAAGAUGUUGCAUAUGAGCAUGGAGUAAACGAAGUGGCUAUGAAAUAAAUUCCAUGCUCAUUAAUGUUAUCUUCGUCUCUAAUCUGAAUGUUCGGAGUUUCUCCUGGAUUGGUCUCACCUAUGUCCUGUUCUGUAGUUGGAUGAAUCUCAUCUUCAAAGGGAGUCAAGAACUCACCAUUUGAAAUUGAGCCAAAGUCAGAACCUAUUAAGGCUUCUUUCUUAUCCAUCCAUUCUACACAUUCUAGCCAUUUAGAACUUGUGAUCAAAAUAGGGGAGGUGUUAGAAUUUUCUAUAUGGCUUAGCUCUCCUUCUAUGGCAUUACUUGACAUGCCAUCCUUAUGGUCUUCAUGACUCCUAUGGUUUGGUCGUCUUGGUGAAUUGCUAGGAUCAUCAUGAGAGUGAAAAGAAGAGGGAUAAGAGGGAUCUCUAAGGUCAAGGAUGGAUUUAGAACUUGUGAACAUGGAAGGGGAGUAGAUAGAAUUGUCUAUAUGGCUUAGCUCUCCUUCACUUGAUAUGUCAUCCUCGACUUCUUCAUGAUAGGAACCAGGACAUUCUCUAAGAGAAACAUUAUUGCAAUGAUUUGAAUUAUCCCUGCUUGAAGGUCUCUUAUAGAACUAGAAGUCUAAACCAUCAGCAUUUAAAAGAUUUAAGGUCGGAAUUCCUUCCUCCCUUGGAGAAUUUUGGGGUAUUGAUGGUUUAGAAUCGAUAGCUAAAGUUUGGGAUUGAAGUGGUUGUGAUCUGGCUAUCAAAACUUCUUCUUCUUGUCUAGGAACUGGUUCUUUCUCUUUCUCAGGGAUAUAAAAGCUAGGAGACUUUCCGCUCAUUAAAUCAAUCAAAUUCCAAGCUUCACUAGCGGAUAUGUGGUGGAAAGAUCCUCCAGAGGCCGCAUGAAGGGUUUGCCUAUUUUUCCUACUAAGGCCCUCAAAAAAGUGAAUUAGAAGAACUUCUUCUGGAAUAGAAAGUUUUGGGCCAGUGAGAGUAAGGUUAAUAAAGCGGUCCCAUGAUUUGCCAAGAGAUUCUUCUUCCAGUUGUCUAAAAGAAAGAAUCUCACGCCGAAGUUCCACCACUUUGGAGAUUGGAAAAUAUUUAGAUAGAAAACUACUAUAUAACUCCUUCCAAUCUCCAUGAACACUCCCUACUUUAAGUUUAUACCAAUGUCUAGCUUUUCCCGUUAAAGAGAACGGAAAGAGCUUCCAUUUAAGGGUCUCAUCGGACAUGCCUUCUAUGCGAAGGAGGUCACAGACUCGAUAAAACUCUCUAAGGUGUGUGUAUGGGUUUUCCUCACCUUCUCCUGAGAAAGGUUGUUUUUGAAUAAAUUCUAUGUAUUCGGGGUCUAUCUCAAAACUAGAUGCUAUGAUAGGCUUUGAAGAUUUUGGUGGUUCGAGAUGUGUGCCCAUAGGUCUAUGAAAUUCAUAGAUAGACAUGUUUGAAUUCAUGAUAGACCAGAGAUCAAGGAUUAGAUAAGAAGAAAGAUUAGCAGAGAUGAGGCAAAGGAUAAAAGGAAAAUAUUUUUUUUAUUAUUUUUUUUAAAAAAAUGAUUAAGCUAGUUCGUAGUCAACUCAGCAACCGUUUCCCCGGCAACGGUGCCAAAAAUGCUUGUUGACACUUGCUAACACCACUUGAAUACUAGGUUGUCAUCCCCAGCAUGGCACUAGAGUGUACUAUGGUAUUUAUACGCACACAGAUAAUCCGCAAGCGCACGGAUACCGUUGAAGCUUUUACCCGGUUAAAGGUUUUAUCGUAUCCACAGGGAAACGGGAGAACCAACUACGCUCUAACUUAACCAAGAUAGAUAGAUAGGUGUAAAUAGGAAAGAUGAUAGAAUCGAAUAAGAACAAUAUUAAAGGUAAGAUAACAGUGAGUGAUAAUAUGGGAAUAGAGAAUAGAGCAAUUCUAGUAUAUGGGCGAUGGUAGCAGAAUAGAGAGGAUAACUAUGGUUUCUCUACUUCAAAGGGGUAUGUCUAUGUCUGGGACGAACCACGUGAUAAGAGUACACCACAAAGGAUGCUUAUCCAUAGGCCGAUAAACCCUACCCGUCCUGCUAACGAGAGGUGGACUACAGGGGACCAACGUAACUGUCACCUACGCGGCCUACCACAUGAUCUAGCUAGUCGGGGGAUAUCCACAAGUAAUCUAGGUCUAAGCACCACGCUUACACCUAUACUACAACUCUAACCUAUAGGGUCCUAUAGAUUAGAAGUACUCAAAAGAGUUGUGAACCAGAACAUACAUGAUUAGUAAUUGCAUAAUGAAUUAGAAGUAGAUUACCAGAGUCAUCCCAUGAGCAAGCUUGAUUAGAGCUUGAUCAUGGCGAAGUACAACCGGAGGAAGAACAGACAGGCCGGCCUCUCCUCUAAUCCUCCUUCGCUCUCCACCUCGCUACUAUCUAGAUCUACUCUAGUUUAGAGAAGAGAGGAGAGCUCUCAUCUCUAAACCCUAGCUUUUGCUCUGUCUAUGAAUAAUGAAUAAUGAUCAAGGGGUUGUCUCCUCCAGGGGCCAGGGGGUCUGGUUUUAUAGUCCCCUCAAGUGAACCUGGGCCGUCGGAUCAAACCGACAUUGAUUGAACGGUUAUUCUUGAUCCUUUAGGUCGGUGGAGCAUAAUCCGCGAGAUUGAGCGUGAUUGGCCACAGGAGGUGGGCGGGCACCCAGUAGGACAGGGCGGGCACCCUGUCUCUGGCCCCGAUUCGCCUCCGCUUCGGUCUCGUGGCUUCUGGAGUCUUCUAGAUGUAAGAUAAUUGCGCGGCACGUUAAUAUCUUUACGUAAUCCCGACGUGUGGGCCUUUCUUCCUUAUUUCCUGAUAACCCCCUGCAGAAAUAGACAAACACCAAAACUCGUAGAAUUCUGUCAAAUAAAACCCUAAGUCUAGAUGUUGAUUUCAUUUGGAUCCUUUUCUUUGUUUAUUUGAUAAUUAAAUUUGAUACUUAAGGACCGUCAACAAACUCCCCCAAGCUUACCUCUUGCUCGUCCCUGAGCAAGGAUAGACUCAGCUAUAGAUCAUAAGUUGUUGCAAUAUCUUUAAUAAUUGACGGUACACAUGCUUUUACAUGAGGUCUCAUCUCUGAGUUAGAGUAAACUGUCAAGACUUAAAACUUACUUACUUUACCUUUCACCAUGGGACUUGUAACCGUCACUUCUGUCUUGAGUGGUUAAAAGCUAGAACAGUCCAGUCAAGUGCCAUGUCGCUUAUUCUUGAUCAGCUAUAGCUCUGGAGUUUUUGCAGAUUUUCAAAUAAAACUCAGAGAUUCCUUUGUAUGACUCUCUCAUAUCUCUCUUUUGUGGUAUUUCUGGAUCCUUACCAAGGCAGUGAUGGUAUAUGCCUUCUCUCAAAACAUGUGGUAUUUGUGGUAUAAGGCAUAGUGACAUUGCCUUCUCUCUCACCCUACUCUAAUAAGGCUUUAAUAUCUGGAGCUCAUAGGUGGGAGAUAAAGUAUACAUACUUACAAGACAUGUAUUGCAUAGUCAAACCAUGGAUCCAAAGAAACAAAUCAAUAAGCCAAAUCAAGAUGUGCAUGUGUGGCGAAUGAAUAGUGUAUGGUGAUGAUGGUGAUAACAAUGGUGAAAGUCUAAUUCUACUUUUGCUCUUUUGAGGGGAUACAUACCUUCCUUGCUUUUUGAAACUUUAUGAGAAGAAUGAGAUGCUAUUCUUUUUCUUUUCUCUCACAUGGGUAUCCUGUACCCCUAAUUCUACUGUCGGACACUUGUCCAUUUUUACCUCUCGUCUCACUCUUUUUCUUUUCUUUCGAGGUUCCGGGCACUUGCCCCUUUUUAUUUCCUCGUUUAUUUUUUUUUUCUUUUCUUUUUUUCUUCUUCUUUUUUUUCAGAGCACUCAUCUCUUGAGAUAAUAUAGCAAGUGGUAGUAGCAAGAUAACUUGAGCAUUUAUUUCACAAGGGAAAAACACAGAUGUUUUUGGCUAUUCUCUCCCGAAUUAGGAGUACAAUAUUUUUAGGUGAUUCUGGAGAUGGAAAUGGAUGGAUAUAUAUGGAUGGUACUUUCGGAGUAGAAGUAGCAUAUAUAUGAGUGAACGUGCAAGUGAAUCUUGAUUUAACCACAUGACAAGCUCCUAAGGGUCUACACAGCUUGACCACACUCAAUGCUCAUAAGCAGUAAAUAAUAAAUGUGUGGCUCAAAGUCUAGCAAGCAUGUAUAUAUGGCUGUGGUAGGAAUUUAAACUUUCAUCAUACAGGAACUCAUCAUGCAACAUUUUAAAGAUUUUUCAAAGAUAAAAUUCUCCAGAAUUCUAGCAUCUCUAGGAACAGAUAAACAGCAGCUCAACCUUCCCAUAUCUUAUCCGUUAACAACUUAGAUUUUAGAUCAAGUUUUCAUCCCACAAGUUUAGAUCUAGAGCAAGCUUUAAAUUAUAACAUCUAUGUCUAAACUUGAGAGAGAACUUCAAAUUUGCAAAUUAGGCAGAGCAACUAUUCAUCAUAUCCAUGCUAGAGUUUUAUUAUUAAGAUUCAUAGCAAACUUUAUUUAUUUAUUUAUUUAUUUAGCAAACUAAGAAAAGUAUAUAUAUAUAAGCAUAAAAUCUUUAUUUGGUUUUUCAUAGUUUAUGUAUUUUAAUAUUCUAAUAUAAUAUAAGUAUAAAGGUAGGUAUAAAUACUUAGCGAGAUAAAUAGGGGUGCUCUCCCUCAAGCUGAAUUUUGACGUAAUUUCUCUUGAUGUAGCUAGCAGGUGGCAGAGGGGUAUUUGAAAGUCAGCAGCAUUCUGACAGCAAUUAGAAUAUCCUCUAUCUUUCGGCGAGGGUUCAAUGUUUUAAGUCUUCUUAACAAGACUUCUCACCGUGUUCAUUCUUCAGGUGCGUCAUUUGAUUCAGGUGCGGACCUUGACGUCUGCACCUCUUGAUACGGUGUCACCCAUAUUCUUCGUUUGCCCAGCAGUUCGAAGUGCGGUGUUAGCAGUAUCUUGCUCAAUGUGUUUGUGCCCGUAGUGUACCUGCUCAUAGAGACAAGGCAGAGAUCAAGUGAACCAAAAGUGUAUUUGUUCUUCUCUAACCUUAAGCAUAGUGAGCAAGACAAGUUGAUGGAUGAUAAGUUCAUGAGUGUAGCACUUAUAACAUUUGUCAGAUCAGAUCGCUCAACCUUAUGGAAAGAUAAUAUAUCUAUGUAUAGGUCUUUUUAUUUAUAUCUCUCAAUGAUUGAAUGUGUAACAUUUUAGCUCAUAUGAUUAGGAGUGUGGGAUCAUGGAGGUAGUACUAAGAACAAGGAUUAAAGGACUAAACAUGUUGAAUCAGUUGGGUUGGUUAAUCUAGAGUUGUAAAUCAUACACGUUUGUCUCUUUUAUUUAUAUGAACGCCAGAACCAAGGAGAAGCUUAUAAAAGUGAUAGUCAAGUACCUUAGGAUGUUACCUUGCUUGAAAAGUGAUGGUACAGUAUCACCUUGUGGAAGCUUUCCUUUCUUAGCGGUUGUGCAUCGUGUUCGUGGCACCCUCCAUGGAUCUUCACUUUAUGAUGAAUGAGCUAUGUCCUUCUUGUGCUAAUUGUUAAACUUCAUGUGUCACUUUCUUCGUCUCUGAUGUGAGUUUAUCUCAGGACUUCCCAAAUCGAUAUUGAAAGUUUUUCUGCAGGGGUUAGUCCGACAAAAUAUACCAAUAUCUACUCAAGCAGUUUUUAGUUCAAUAACCAAACUAGACUCCAUGUCUAAUCAGAUUAAGGAAGGCUAUUUAACCUAAGCACCAUGCUUUAUUUAAAUGCCAAUGGAAGUAUGGCGAGUACUUCCAAACCAACACUUGCUAGUAAAUAGACAACGGUAGCAUGACAGCGUUUAUAGAGAUCUACUCAAGUGGAGAUGAAGUAGUGUGAUUAGUAUUUAACAAAUUGAGCAUGUCUCAAAGGUAGGGACAACCAGCAUAGCAACAUGGCAAAGGAUGUUUUUAUGUAAAGUACUCCCCCAAGCUUGAAUUUUGCAAAAAUUCAAGUUUGGAUGAAUUUAAUUCAAUGUUGUAUGAUGAUUGGUUGGACAUACCUUGUGCUUGUCAUUCAUCCGAUCUUCUUGCUCCAAUCUUAGAAAGGUUAGUGACAAGAAUACCCGAAGGAAUAUAUUUUUUUUUACAAUUAUCCUUAUAUGCUCAAUACACAAGGUAAUGUUGCAAAUAAUUAAAGGCUCAUGUUACGAUCUGAUCAAUGCUUAUUUUAAGACACUAAGCUUGUCCUUGGGAAACCAUCAGUUUAUGUUGGCGAAGUGGUUUCCCCUCCGACGCCAACCUAUAUCUAGAUCAACUCAACGUGAUCUGCAAUAUUUAUUAUAGACAUAUGCAUCGACAACCGCCCUUUUAAAGUUUUUAUAAAUUGAAAGGAAGAGGGGGUUGGAGAUCUCAAGUGUGGUGAUGUCGGAGAGACCAAUAGAUUGGGAAGAUGUUGCAU
rnacentral:lncRNA from 1 species